CUGCGGGAGAAAUUGAAAAGCGCGAAGGCGGCCGGGCGCGGCAUGUGUGGAGCUGUGAAAUGCACGGCACCAUUACACCGCGCCCUGUCGCUGCGUUCGGGGGGCCGCCCCUCGGGGCCGCCCCUGUCUGCACCCUCUGCCAUUGUCGCACCUCGCGUUUCCUCGGCGGGCCCGCCCGCCAACGGGGACCCCAAACCAAACCCACUUGCAGUGCCUGCAGUAAACGUCUCACAAAAGAAAUAAAUCAAAACUUUCAACAACGGAUCUCUUGGUUCUGGCAUCGAUGAAGAACGCAGCGAAAUGCGAUAAGUAGUGUGAAUUGCAGAAUUCAGUGAAUCAUCGAAUCUUUGAACGCACAUUGCGCCCUUUGGUAUUCCUUAGGGCAUGCCUGUUCGAGCGUCAUCUAACCCCUCAAGCACCGCUUGGUGUUGGGCGCUUGUCCCCGCCCCCGCGCGCGGACUCGCCUCGAAGACAUUGGCGGCCUGUGUAUUGGCUACGAGCGCAGCAGACCCGCGCCUCGUCCCCUCUCCGCGCAGGCGCCCACGAAGCGCAACCCCCCCAAUUUUGACCUCGGAUCAGGUAGGGAUACCCGCUGAACUUAAGCAUAUCAAUAAGCGGAGGAA
rnacentral:rRNA from 1 species